AGUCACUGACAUUAGAUACCCGUGUAGUCCCAGCCGUAAACUAUGCUCGCUAGGUGUCAGGCAUGGCGCGACCGUGUCUGGUGCCGCAGGGAAGCCGUGAAGCGAGCCACCUGGGAAGUACGGUCGCAAGGCUGAAACUUAAAGGAAUUGGCGGGGAGCACCACAACGGGUGGAGCCUGCGGUUUAAUUGGACUCAACGCCGGGAAGCUCACCGGAUAAGACAGCGGAAUGAUUGCCGGGCUGAAGACUCUGCAUGACUAGCUG
rnacentral:rRNA from 1 species